UUAAACUAAAGAGUACGAAUCAGUCUCUCUAGUCUCCUUUCUGUUGUUCGCCGACUGUUGCUUGUCGUUCGCUGGUGCUUCCUCUUCACCGUUUGAUACUCCGACUGUCGUUAUCCGGUGCUUCCUCUAUAGCCGGACUUGUGAUGACCUCUGUUUGUUCUUAUAUUGUCUUUGCACUCCAAUUAAAGUCCUCUUCGUCGGAGUUGUUUCCUCAGAAUCAUGGGACGACACCGGCUCGAUUAUACACACCAGAAGAAGCGUUUGUUUCGGAGGAUCCUGGUUUAUUAAUUGAUUGAACAAAAGAGUCAUGAUUUGUAAUUUAAAUAAAAAUGAGAUUUUUAUGAAAUGUGUUAAAGAAAUAAGCGAAUAUAAAUGAAUUUUUUUUUUUGAAAAUUUCGGUGUUACAAGUUGGUAUCAGAGACUUGGUUUGAGGGAUUCGGAUGCACCUUCGGGUAAAUAUAGACUCAAACUGAGGAAGUAAGAAAAGUUUUCAAAGAAAUGAUUUAUAAAAGUGAAUAAGAGUUCAAAGAGAAAGAGAGAAAGAGCAGUGUGUACAAUCAGCCAAAGCCCGAACGGUCACCAGUAGGCAGGUACGAUGACCAGGUUUUGAGAAGACGGAGCAGUCAAGAAUCAUCUUUUGUUUUGAUUUCUUAUCAUGUCUUAUUCUAUAAAAGAACACUCAUGUAUUAAAAUUUUACUAUUAAUGCAAUGGAUGAUGUUG